rnacentral:rRNA from 1 species
UACGUAGGGGGCAAGCGUUGUCCGGAUUUAUUGGGCGUAAAGCGCUCGCAGGUGGUUCAUUGCGUCGUGCGUGAAAGACCCCGGCUCAACUGGGGAGGGUCGUGCGAAACGGGUGAACUAGAGGCCAGUAGGGGGAUGCGGAAUUCCGGGUGUAGUGGUGGAAUGCGUAGAGAUCCGGAGGAACACCAGCGGCGAAGGCGGCAUCCUGGACUGGUCCUGACACUCAGGGGCGAAAGCGUGGGGAGCGAUCCGG